UAUAUUUAUUUAUUUAAUAUGACAGAUUAGUGUGGUGAAUUUAAGAUUCAUUUAUAUAGAU
rnacentral:tRNA from 1 species